CAACUACUCCCUCUGUUCCAAAUUUCUUGUCUUAGAUUUGUCUAGAUACAAAUGUAUCUAAUACUAAAAUGUGACUUGAUACAUCCGUAUCUAGACAAAUCUAAGACAAGAAUUUUGGGACGGAGGGAGUACUUU
rnacentral:pre_miRNA from 1 species